GUAGAUAUGACUUUGGCAUAGUAAAAUUGAACUCUACAACAUAAUUUGAGUAUUUAAUUGAUAUAAUUUAUAAGAUACGUCAUUAAAUGUUACUUUUAUUACAAUUAAUUCACUAAUGAAUACUCAAAUUUCACAACUCAUAAAAUCGGAGAAGAAAAGAACGCAGUUCAUUUAGUUCUGAAAUUCCCCGGUGUGCACUCUCAAACAGAAAAAUGAACAGAUCUAUUGUUGACAACCAAUGUCAAACCAUACGACGGAUGAAAAAGUAGAAAGUUGGGCAACUUCUUCCGUCGAAACCGUCCGUCUCAGUCCGAUCCGUCGCUUAUGGGUCGCUUCCCAUAAGAACGUGUGUAUUUUAUCGAGCUGUCAGUCAAAAACUUCGACGGAACGGACGCAACGGAUUCUAUGGGCUGGGGCCUUUACAGAUUAUUCUCAUCAGUUAGAAAAAUGUUCAUUUUGUCAAAAUACUUUUUCCGACUGUUGUAGGUACUCACUUUAUUUACAUUUUAAAAUAUUUUAUUUAAACUGUCAUUGAAGAAAUUCAAUUUGAUAAUACUUCCUCAAAUACGGCAAAUAAAUGGAUAACGAAACGAAAAACAUAUUAUUGCAACUACUUGACUCUUCAAGCGUUGAAGAUGGGAAUGAAUUUAAUUUUGAACACUUUUUUCGAAGAAGGUUAGGUUCAAAUGACUUUUCCCUUGAUUUGCAAGACGGUCACUCAAAAGUGGAAAAGUUCAUUGAAACUAUAGAUGCAUACCUACAGCGAAGAAGAUUUCAAGUCGCAUCUCCUACUGAACCGCUUGACUGUUAAUCAAUUAACAAGCAGUUGAAUAAUCAAAGUCGGAAUUCAACUCAAAUCCAACAACUGGAAAACCUAGAAUUGACGCAAAAGAAGAGGUAGGUAUUAAUCUACACACAUAUGUAUGGUACGUAAGCAACACUAUCACUUUUCGGCAAUUGGGGAAACUAUUCGGUGUAUCGAAAUCUGCAGUCUGGGGUGUUGUGGGUCGCGUAAGCAGCUUACUCCAGUCAAAGCGUCAUUUGACCUUGCGCAGAGAGGCACUGUCAGUUUUUAUUUCAUGGAUCGAUAGGGGUAUAUUUAAAAGGCUUAAACCCAAUUUCUCACCACCUGAUCAUUCUUUUUAGCGGAGUUAUUCACAAAAGUGCAUUUUUUGGGAUAUUUUACUUCUAAGCUAAUAUCUUUGCUCCAGAUUGUCGUAGACCAAAAAAUAAACAUACAUUCUCUUUCUUAUAAUAUUUUCUGCCGUUGUAUGUAAUUUCAUUGUAUUUGAGUGAGUAAUUAAUUAGUUUUUAAGUUUUAAAAUAAACAAAAAAAAUGAUCAGAAUCCAAGUUUUUUUUAGAAAUUAUUUCUUGGAAAAAAUAAAACCUUGAAAUACUAUUUGAAUUGAAUUAGUUUUAAGGCCGAAAGGCAUUAGUAUUAAGAAAAAUGAAGAAUAACUUAGAGUGCCCGUAUAGGGCCAGUAAGUUAGUUGUAAGUAAUUGAUAAGUAGGCUAGUUUUUAUGAAUUUUUGUCUAGCUUUAAGAUAGUUUUAAGAUGAUGAAAAAUAAAAAUGAAU